GCUCGAAAACAUUCACUCCUGAACUCUCGUGGCGCCCUCUCAACUCUCAAAUCUUCUUAAUUUUCCUCAUCUCUCUCCCUCCCUCAACUCUUGCCCUCGACCAGACCUCCAAGAGAGACUCCUCCGUCGAAAUCGAUAACCCAACUUCGUCGUCACAUCUCUCUUCCCUCGGUAGUCGUUCGUUACUGGUACAAGACCUAGUGGUUUCGAUUUGAAAUCCCGAAACGACGGCGUUAUAUGAGCGACUGCAGAGAAAAGUCACAGCACAAGGUAACAGUGGUUGUUUCAGACCUGGCGGCCGCCUCUGCAGUCAGAAGCAUCAAGCUUUUCAAUCUGCCGUGCAAUUCAAAUAUCGUCGGCGUCGUAGUGGCAGUGGGAGACCGCCAUCGUCGGCGCCGUCGCUGGGUUUGCCACCAACACCGCGAUGCAUCCUCUGGACGUAAGUACGAGAUUUCAAUUCCACGAUGGUCAAGUCUCCAAUCUUCCAACUUACAAGAACACGGCUCAUGCCAUUUAUGCAAUUUCAUUUGUUUUUUUUAAUUCCGAUUUCACUUCUGGGUCUUAGAUUUAUGCUGAUUUACGAAUUUUUGAAGUUUUUGUUUAUUUUCCUAUUAAUGACGUAGUUCUUCUGUGCAAUAAAGUUUCACAUUGGCUUGGAUUUUUUUGAAGCGACUUGGGAACAGGUGCUUGGGAGUCGAGAGAGGAACUCUGAAUUUGGGAAAGACAGUCAAAACAAAUGAAUAAGAACAAGACUGUAAAUUUCGUCUUGUGUUAUUCACAGUGCUUACUCAUGCAGCUCAUGUCUAUGAGUGCCUGCUUAGAACAGAUAAAAGAAUGCAAGUAUAGGUGGGUGUGGGUAAUGGAAGAUUUUGAAACUUUCAAUUCUUAGAUGACCCCUGAAGUAGAGUUUUCUUCCCCCUUCCUUAAGAUUUAUUUUUUUUAAUAAUGAAUAUAGCAUUGGUGCACAACAUUUGGGACUGGAAGAAGACAAAUACAACAAUAAAAUACUAUGUGAUUAUUCUCUUCCCUUCAAAUAUUUGGGACUUGUAGUAGUUAUAGUGUUUUCUUACUGUGAUGUUUGAAAUAUAAAUGGACUUUAUUUUAAAUCUUUCAUUGUUGCUUGUGCAUGGGGUUGGUUUGGAGAUGAGAUGCGCAGCAAAGAGCAAUUUGUGUAAUUGUGUUUGUGUAUUUAUCUGCAUACGUAUAACAACAAUGACAUUUCUAAGAGUUGGUUUUGUUUUCACUCUCAAUGUCAUUCCUGCAUUUUAUUGUCUUUUAACUCUAGAAAAUAAAUACAUGAAACUUGGAAUUUUUUUAUGUCUAUGUCCCUGAAUUUGGCUGACUUUCUUUUUCCCCUAAUUGUUGAGUCAGAGUAUUUCUUUUACUUGAUCAAAUAUGUCUCUCCAGGAAUUGCAAAAAAAAAAAAAAAAAAAAAAAAGGUAAUGGCUCUGAGCUUUUAUGAUUUUCUAUUGAAAGCCUAUGAUAUUAUAAGUCUGGAAUGUAUUGAACUUUGUGUUCUAAUAUAAGUAUGUCACUGAAUCUGUUUUUCUGCACAAAUUGAGUUCUCAUAGCAUUCAAAUUUCUUCAUUACAUUCAAUUCAUUUCUUGGUCUUUUGGAAGGAAGUAAGAGAGAUUUGAAUCCUGUUUGUUCAUUACUCAAAUAAUUUCUACUUAGAAAGAUGUGCUAUAUAUUGAUCCUAAUCUUGUUUUCGUGUAGGAUCUUGACAACAAAUUAACAUGUUAUUUGAUUAAUUUUUUUCACGAGGUUUUUUUCAUUUUAUUCACUUUUAAGUAUUUUUGUUAUUGGGUGCUUUUUUUUUUAUGGAGCAGGGAAGGCAUUGAAAGAGAGGGAAAAAGCUGCCGAACAAAGAAUGAGAUUUUGGGAAAGAUACAGGAGAAGGGGCAUUGGACUAUAGCGAUUGAAGGGAGGAAGAAAGGAUUUGCUAUAUGUUGAGUACAGAAUAAGAAAGGAAAGAGAAAAGGUUAAUAUUAGGAACCAUGUCAUUCAUGUAUCAUCUAUGGAUGUGGUAGAAUUUGUGAGCAGUCACAUAUAGUUCCACUGUUUCUAAUUCUAUGUAAUAAAAUUGAAUCUUCAAGUUUUAUGUAAGAAAUAAUUUUUGAGUA